rnacentral:lncRNA from 1 species
GGCGGUGGGCGACCGGACAGAGGUUUUGAGAAUCAAGUAAAUUAAUUAAUACUGGAGAGGGGCCUUGGGUUGAAGCCAGAUUCCAGUGGCGUGAGGUGUGGAAUCAACGCGUCACUGAAGGCAAGAGGUGGCUACUAUUUUCUAAACCACAGGUAAGAGAAAGCCCUUUAGGGACCUGUGAGGUGGCUCAGUGAGUAAAGGUGCUAGCCACCAAGCCCGAUGACUGGAGUCUUGCCAGGACCAAUGUAGUGAACAGAGAGAACAUACUCAAGCAAGUUGUCCUACGACCACCACCCACCCACCUACCUACGUACAACAUAACAAAUUAAAUAAUAAAUGAAAUGAAAUGUAAGAGAGACAGAACAACCGGAGAUACCCAGGGGUCUAGCCCACCUCAUCAGCAGCAGUCGCUAUCCUGAAGGACCAAAGAAUGAUUGAGACCCAUUUGUUAACUACUGCUUGUGAAGCUGGGAGACACCUGUGGAACAAAGGGAGCAGUUGGCUGGGUAUCUUUCCUGCCAUCCCAGCCUGCAGCCUACUGCCUGCCAUCUGCCUUAGACUCCAGUGCUCAAAGACGGGAUUCUGGAAGGAGCCAUCCUAUGAUCACCAAGCCAUAGGCCUGUGGACAAAGAGAAACUGUCUAAACGAUACUCCCCCCUGUUGCCCAUCUGUGGACUGUCUUUCCUUCUGCAGAUUUACGAAACACCUGGGUCAUGGGGAGAUGAGGAUGAGCAACCAGAUAAACAUCUGGAGCACACCUACAGUCGAUGAGCCAAGGGAACGUGUCCUGUGCUGUUUGCAAUAGCAUGCUCUGCAGAAAAUUGAGGAGGGAGCCAGAAGCCUUAAGAUGGUGACUUAACCCAGGUCAGGGCUGGCAGUCAUAUCAAGAGGGGACAGCAGAAUCAUUGGGCAGGUGAAAAGCAUUAUGUUGUGGUUCACAGGGAAAU